GACGAACGCUGGCGGCGUGCUUAACACAUGCAAGUCGAACGAUGAAGCCGGAGCUUGCUCCGGUGGAUUAGUGGCGAACGGGUGAGUAACACGUGAGCAAUCUGCCCUUGACUCUGGGAUAACUGCGGGAAACUGUAGCUAAUACCGGAUACGACACCUUGGGGCAUCCCAGGGUGUGGAAAGAAUUUCGGUCAAGGAUGAGCUCGCGGCCUAUCAGCUAGUUGGUGAGGUUAUGGCUCACCAAGGCGACGACGGGUAGCCGGCCUGAGAGGGUGACCGGCCACACUGGAACUGAGACACGGUCCAGACUCCUACGGGAGGCAGCAGUGGGAAUAUUGCACAAUGGGCGAAAGCCUGAUGCAGCAACGCCGCGUGAGGGAUGAAGGCCUUCGGGUUGUAAACCUCUUUUAGCAGGGAAGAAGCGAAAGUGACGGUACCUGCGGAAAAAGCACCGGCUAACUACGUGCCAGCAGCCGCCGUAA
rnacentral:rRNA from 1 species